GUCGAACGCUGGCGGCGUGCUUAACACAUGCAAGUCGAACGAAGUGGCGAACGGGUGAGUAACGCGUAAUCAACCUGCCCUUCAGAGGGGGACAACAGUUGGAAACGACUGCUAAUACCGCAUACUGAAGGAGGGGAUUGCGUCUGAUUAGCUAGUCGGAGGGGUAACGGCCCACCAAGGCGAUGAUCAGUCGCCGGUCUGAGAGGAGGAACGGCCACAUUGGGACUGAGAAACGGCCCCGACUCCUACGGGAGGCAGCAGGGGGGAAACUUCCGCAAUGGACGGAAGUCUGACGGAGCAACGCCGCGUGAGAGAUGACGGCCUUCGGGUUGGAAAGCUCUGUUAAUCGGGACGCGGUACCGGAAUAGAAAGCCACGGCUAACUACGUGCCAGCAGCCGCGGUAAUAC
rnacentral:rRNA from 1 species